UCUUCUUGUCAGACUAGGGUUGAUACAUCUCAUACGAGUUUUCCUGCCAUCGAGAGUUGACGAAAGAGCUUCCUAUCAGAGAGGGUUAAAUCACAGUUGUCUUUACCCGUGGCACUGUAGACACGUAAUUUUGUCCUGUUAAUGAAUUUUUUUAUUAUUUCCGAUAUCACACAAUUUACCCCCACUUUUUUAUAAUUUUUCCCCAAGAAAAUAAAUAACCACCUCACCUUUACUUAUUUAUGUAUUUAUUUUUUUUGUUUUGUUUUUAUCCAAAUAAUAAGCCAUAACAAACUUUGUCUCAUCCUAAUAUUCUAACAACCCACCCAACUAAAAAUUGACAACACAUCUUAACCCCUACCCCUCCUACC
rnacentral:lncRNA from 1 species